rnacentral:rRNA from 1 species
GAUGAACGCUGGCGGCGUGCCUAAUACAUGCCAGUCGAGCGAACAGAUAAGGAGCUUGCUCCUUUGACGUUAGCGGCGGACGGGUGAGUAACACGUGGGUAACUUACCUAUAAGACUGGAAUAACUCCGGGAAACCGGGGCUAAUGCCGGAUAACAUGUUGAACCGCAUGGUUCUACAGUGAAAGGCGGCUUUGCUGUCACUUAUAGAUGGACCCGCGCCGUAUUAGCUAGUUGGUGAGGUGACGGCUCACCAAGGCAACGAUACGUAGCCGACCUGAGAGGGUGAUCGGCCACACUGGAACUGAGACACGGUCCAGACUCCUACGGGAGGCAGCAGUAGGGAAUCUUCCGCAAUGGGCGAAAGCCUGACGGAGCAACGCCGCGUGAGUGAUGAAGGUCUUCGGAUCGUAAAACUCUGUUAUUAGGGAAGAACAAAUGCGUAAGUAACUGUGCGCGUCUUGACGGUACCUAAUCAGAAAGCCACGGCUAACUACGUG